CUUCCGCAAUUCUCUGCAAGUCCCUAGGAAUCACCACUUCCCACAGCUUUCCGCAAGCACCAUAACCCCGGAAACCUGCAUCUCGUCGGCUCCGAAAAUCUUCCCAUGACCAGAGCUACCUGGUCCUUCAACACGGAAAAAAACACUACUCGAGCCUCUCUUUCUCCCCUUCCAAAGGAAAAAUCCUGCAGCACUCUUUUUUUUACUUGAACACCUUGCUGCGCUUCAACAGCUAUUGUUUUCGAGGGCUUUGGGGCAGAAGGGACAACGGGGACAGAGAGAGGAGAUGCGAUGUAAGCUGGGCGACGGAACGACCCCGAGCGGGAGACCGAGCCCCAGGGUUUUUGGGAGGAGAACCGAAGAGGAAGGACGUGCUGGACGCGCUCUGGUCGACCACCGUGGUUGGUCUCAGGCGGCGGGUUGAGGGGGUUGGAGGAGAUUGCAUGAUGGAAAGAAGACCCCGUUCAUCGAACUCCAAUGGUUGUGCACAAAGUGGUUGAACUUUGAUAAGUUUGGCGCCUUUUACUUUCCUUUUAUAUUUUAUCUCUAGUAAUUACAUAGUUCCAGUAAGAUCUAUAAAGUGUAAUCAUUUAAUUGCAUAUGGUGUAUUGUUUGUUAUUUGGUGCGGUGGGGUACAUCACACAGCAUCCACACAAACUUGAUUACCCAGUUUGGCUGGGCCAAAGGCUGCUCCCCCUGGACAAAAACGAGCUGAGCGAGCCUGAGGCUUACCGGGGGCUACAUACAAUUAAGGAUUUGAAAGUUUUCUUUGGCAGGGGUCCAGUUAGAGUGUUUUCUGGAAUAUCACAUGGUUCAGCUUUGGGAGGCAUUCGGAGGGAUCAGAAGGAUGCAAAUCAGUUUGGUCAUAACUUUCAUUGAAUGGAAAAGUAUAAAAACUAACCAAAUAAGGUGUAAAAUACUUUGCACAACAGCAUUGUGGCUACUCAGUCAGGAAAGGCAACCUGAUUAGUUGUUAGGAAUGGAGCUUUGCCUUAAUCAUAGCUGAAUUAACCAUUCUGCUAGUGUUCAAACAUAUAGCUAGUUGCUUGUGAUCAUUUAAGUUCUACUUGGAAGUAAUUUGCAAUGGGAACCUAAGUUUAAAGCAGUGGAAUUGCAUAUGCUUCCACGAUUAUUAAAUGUGUAACAGUAAUAUCCAAUGCUUACUUGUAAAGUCAUAUUGAUUUUAAUUGGGAAAAUGUUAUACCAUCUCUAAAUCCACAUAUGGAUGUAAUUAUACAGUUUUGUUUUAGUAAAGCAAAUGUUAUUUCCAAAGUCACAUCCUGCCGAUUAAUUUUAUGAAUUAUCUAUUCCUCAUCUCUAAAUCCUAAUGUUCAGGCUGUCAAAUCACAAAGAUUUACCUCUGCUGCAGGUAAAUCUGAUUAAGCAUGGACAGGAAUGAAGAUGGAAAUGAGGCCUGAAAACAGUCCGCUCUUUGGGCUUGUGUAAUGAAAGACUUCUAAUUGUUACCAUACCAUGACAAGUUAAAGUAAAACAAUCAAAGGUUACAUUGCAUGAAGGAGUGGAAGCUAGAGAAACAAUAGUAAUUUGACCUUUAAAGACAAUGGUGUGAAUUAGAAAAGGCUUGAAAAUAAUGAGAAAGCUGAGGAAAGAUGUUGUACCAAUGUACGAUAACCCUGGAGUCAUUUGGGUUAAUGAUUAAUACCAGUGUGACCCUUUUGCCUGUGAAGUUACAAUCAACAAGGCAGAACAGGCUAACAAAGGAUUAAAACACACUCAGUCACCACUUUGUAAGAUACCUCCUGUACCUAACAAAGUGGGAACCCAGUAUAUGUUCAUGGUGUUCUGCUGCUUGCGCCUAUCUGCUUCAAGGUUUGCAUUGUUGUGCGUUCAGAGUUGCGCUUCUGCGCACGACUGUUGUAAUGUGUGGUUGUUUGAGUUACUGUGGCCUUCCUCUCAGCUUGCACCAGUCUGGCCAUUCUCCUCUGACCUCUCUCAUUAUCAAGGCAUUUUUGGCCGCAGAAUGGCCGCUCGCUGGAUGUAUUUCUGUUUCUCACACUAAUUUCUGUUAACUCUAGAGACUGUUGUGUGUUAAAUUCCCAGGAGAUCAGCAGUUCCUGAAAUACUCAAAUCACCCUUGCUGGCACGGUCAAAGUGACUUUGAUCACAUUUCUUCCCCAUUCUGAUGUUUGGUCUGAACAACAACUGGAGCUCUUGACCACUUCUGCAUGCUUUUAUACAUUGUGUUGCUGCAACAUGGCUGAUUAGAUAUUUGCAUUAAUGAGCACUGAGUGCAUCUCUGUGUACUGCAAAGAAAUGGUGGAUAGCAGAGUGAUUGAGGGUAAUCGUGCUCGGUGCGAAAAUCGAAUUAAAGUGCAACUCCCUGAGUCUAUGUCAAUAUUGCAAGUGAAAGGAGGCAUCAGAAAGGGAGGGCUGAGAGAUUAUGAUCUCCAAGUGAUGAAUUGGUAUUCUCUAACAGGGAAAGUUGCCCAGUAUGAAUCGGAAGACUAUUUGUACCUAAGAGAAGAUGGUUCUUCCUGAUGGAACUGGGUACACUAUCCUAUGGCACCAUGAAUCAGAGCAGAUUUGUGAAAUGAACUGAUGAUGUUUGCCAAUUAGAUAAAGAAUUUGAUGUCCCUUUAAUAACCAUUGACAUUAGGAAAUUGUCCAACAAUCUCAAAAAAAUUAGAACAAGAGGAUUGUCCUCAAGGUCAUUUUCUAGAAGUGGAAUUACUGGGUCAUUGAAAGCACUUAAAUGAAUUGGAAAAGAUUCAGUCUUGAAGCUCUUUCUGAAGUUACCCAGAACCUGUGCAGAUCAUCCAAAGCCAUCUUAAAUUGUAGGAAAGGGAGAUGUUCUUCCUGUUUCAGCUUGACAAUAAGUGCAGGGCAGAUAUUUGCCCACUGGCACCACAUAGUCAUCUAACAUAGUUUCCCAUUCAGGAAACUUUGCCUCACAAUUUGGGGGAAAAAUAACUGUGCUUUAAAGCACUGAAAGGGUCUUCAUAAUGUAGAAGUCUAACUUGUAUCUCAAGUCAACACACCCAGCAUGGAGGGUUUAUUUGCACUUAGUCAGCUAUUUUAAGCUGGACUCACAUGUAGUAUAUCCAGUAUCAGUCUGCCAAAUCUGGCAUUUUGUUUCAGCUCGAUCGUGGAAAAAUAUUUCCAGGCAGACAGAGAAAAAGAUUCAUGAAUAUGUUCAAAGGCUUGUUGAAGACUCAGCCCGAAAUGUCAACUGUACUCUUUUCCAUAGAUGCUGCCUGGCCUGCUGAGUUCCUCCAGCAUUUUGUAUGUGUUGCUUGAAUUUCCGGCAUCUGCAGAUUUUCUCAUGUUUGUGAAGAAAUAUGCUUAUUGAUUCCUAAGAACCAUUGGCCUAAUAUCGCUUGGAGUGGAGAAAAAUCAUUCAGAAAUGUUUCUAGAGCACACAGAAGCCCUGUGUAAACAGUCGAAGGACAGGGCCAUCUGAUGAUCUACUGCCCUCAUCAGUCAUCUCCUGCCCAACAGUGGGAGAGUCUGCAGUUCACACAAGUAUCAUCAGUCAUCUCUUAACCCAUAAAACCAAAGUGGAAUUAAAUCAUCUUGGUCCCUUGCCUAAGAAGAUCCCACUUAAAAAUGGCAAUGAGAAGAGCCAGAAAUGAAGGGUACCUCCAGAGAGAGAGAUUUCAAAUUGUGGAAAGGCUGGGACUCGGUUUGUAAUCUGAACUCUGACAUAGAUCAGAGAUUAGAAAAUUGGAAAGCCUUGAUAAUAAUUCACUGCAUUCCUGUUUUAAGUUCUCAAAACGUAAAUGUUAAUGCUGUUACUAUGUCUAUUUAAUCUUUGAGAGUAAGUCAUACUUUGGCUCUGAAUUAUAUUAAUAUGUGCAUAUGCAUUGUAUUAAAAUAAUUGUUUGAAGUUUGGCAACUUUUAAAUUCCCUUCGAGUUAUGUGAGAGUGACAGAGAGAGGAAGAGAGGGGUCUUUGUAAGUUUGUGUUGAAAUAAAAAUAUUAAAAAGAAUUUUGAUUCUAUGUAUGAAAGUUUGCCUGCCUGAUUCUUCAUUACAUCUCUUUGAAAGCAUUUCUUUAAAACGUAUCUGCUUUUGGUGUUCAGUCCCAAUCAGUGCUGUGUUGAGAUCAGGGAGUUGUUAACUCUAUUUAGCUUAUUCUGUCUUCGUUGUUAGGAGUGUCAUGUACUCUUGAUGCCU